GCACAGAUGCCCGAGAUGGUUAAGGGGAUGGCCUUAAGAUCCAUUAGCGUACGCUUCGUGGGUUCGAGUCCCACUCUGUGCA
rnacentral:tRNA from 1 species